rnacentral:tRNA from 4 species
GCCGCUGUGGCUUAGUGGUAUAGCGGCUGAUUCGUAAUCAGCAGGUCGGGGGUUCAAAUCCCUCCAGCGGCU